rnacentral:rRNA from 1 species
CGAACGGGUGAGUAACACGUGGGCAAUCUGCCCUGCACUCUGGGACAAGCCCUGGAAACGGGGUCUAAUACCGGAUACCACUCGGGAAAGCAUUUUCCCGGGUUGAAAGCUCCGGCGGUGCAGGAUGAGCCCGCGGCCUAUCAGCUUGUUGGUGGGGUGAUGGCCUACCAAGGCGACGACGGGUAGCCGGCCUGAAAGGGCGACCGGCCACACUGGGACUGAGACACGGCCCAGACUCCUACGGGAGGCAGCAGUGGGGAAUAUUGCACAAUGGGCGAAAGCCUGAUGCAGCGACGCCGCGUGAGGGAUGACGGCCUUCGGGUUGUAAACCUCUUUCAGCAGGGAAGAAGCGAAAGUGACGGUACCUGCAGAAGAAGCGCCGGCUAACUACGUGCCAGCAGCCGCGGUAAUACGUAGGGCGCAAGCGUUGUCCGGAAUUAUUGGGCGUAAAGAGCUCGUAGGCGGCUUGUCGCGUCGGAUGUGAAAGCCCGGGGCUUAACUCCGGGUCUGCAUUCGAUACGGGCAGGCUAGAGUGUGGUAGGGGAGAUCGGAAUUCCUGGUGUAGCGGUGAAAUGCGCAGAUAUCAGGAGGAACACCGGUGGCGAAGGCGGAUCUCUGGGCCAUUACUGACGCUGAGGAGCGAAAGCGUGGGGAGCGAACAGGAUUAGAUACCCUGGUAGUCCACGCCGUAAACGUUGGGAACUAGGUGUUGGCGACAUUCCACGUCGUCGGUG